rnacentral:rRNA from 1 species
AACGAACGCUGGCGGCAUGCCUAACACAUGCAAGUCGAACGAGACCUUCGGGUCUAGUGGCGCACGGGUGCGUAACGCGUGGGAACCUGCCCUUAGGUUCGGAAUAACUCCCCGAAAGGGGUGCUAAUACCGGAUAAUGUCUUCGGACCAAAGAUUUAUCGCCUUUGGAUGGGCCCGCGUUGGAUUAGCUAGUUGGUAGGGUAAAAGCCUACCAAGGCGACGAUCCAUAGCUGGUCUGAGAGGAUGAUCAGCCACACUGGGACUGAGACACGGCCCAGACUCCUACGGGAGGCAGCAGUGGGGAAUCUUGGACAAUCGGCGAAAGCCUGAUCCAGCAAUGCCGCGUGAGUGAUGAAGGCCUUAGGGUUGUAAAGCUCUUUUACCCGGGAUGAUAAUGACAGUACCGGGAGAAUAAGCUCCGGCUAACUCCGUG